AUGGAGCGGGUGAGGCCUGAGGGGUCCGGAGGGGAUCGAGGGGGGGCAUUUGGGGGAUCCCGGAGUGGAAUUUGUGGGGGUUCGGCGGGGCCUGGCGUCACUCCCCCCCUCCCCCCCGCAGAGGCUCAGCCUGGAGCAGAGAACGGAGCGUCUGGUGCAAAGGAGGCCCUGCUCGGGCCCCGCCCCCGCGGGCCAGAGAGGGCGAAGCCUCCGCUUGGCUCAGCCCCCUGCAGCUCCACCCUCGAUGACCCCCUCGAACGAUGGCGCUUGAGGCGGUGCCGUGGGGAGGAGACAGCGCUGGACACGCCCCUGUCCCGUGACGCGCCGUGGCAAAUCAGCAGCAGCUGCUGUGCAUCUCUGCACCAGGGGGCGGCACCCGGUGGAAAGCGAGGGUCCCACGAACCUUUGCGGCAGGAGCCAUUUUGGGGGUCACAUGACUGCCUCGGGCAUCUGCAGUGUGUGCCAUGGUGGGAGUCACGUGACUCCCGGGGCGCCCCGCCGUCUGCACCGGAGGCGCUUCCUGAGCCCCUGCGCCGGGGAGGGCCGGGCUUCAGGUCACGUGACCGGUGUGAGGCCCCUCAGCCAAUCAGGAGCAGUGCUCAUGAUGCCCUACAGGAGGCGCCGUUGCAGGAGCCACUGGGUGAGGCAACAGAGGAGCCCUUGUGGGCAAGGGAGUCACUUGAGGGCUGCUGGGCAUUUGUGGGCCAGGCGGGGUCAGUGGUGGGGCUGGAGCGGGCACUUGG
ensembl:lncRNA